GUCAGCAGAACGCUAGGAACUCCUACAAGGACGUCAACACCCCCGGAAACAUCCACAAGUCAACGUCUAAUACCAGGAAGAUGCUUUAAAGCGUUGCGUGGCAUAGCGUGGUCUUCCCGGGUUCAUUCAUCCGGGCAGUUAUCAGCACCCUCUGGUGAGAGAACAAAGACGGAGUACCGCCGUUUGUAGUCCCUUGGUCGUUACAGAGAUAAGGUGUAUUAUUCUUUGUGUCCGUGUCAGUGGCGACACAUACUUGAGGGCGGAUGUCUAUGAUGUGUGACUCUUUGUUGAAGCCUCUUAACAACCUGCUUAUGUAAUUGCUGCGAUGUUCCUUUUGUAGAGUCCCGGUGCUAACGACCCGACAAGUAGAACCGAAAGGUGACUGACAGGUCGUUGCUGGAAAUAGGAAAUAAAAAAGAUGGUUUAAAAUUGA